ensembl:lncRNA
GGCUCAUAUUAAAUCAUUUGGCAAAACAUCAUGAGUAAGGAUGAUGCUCUUUUUCCUGAAACGACUCUCCAAGACAGGAAAAGGAUUAUGUAGAUGAUGGAGAAGUAAGAGAGCCAGAAGAAGAGUAGGACAUUGGUAGGACUCAAAGAGACGGGGGUCCUGGAUACAUUUUCCUGAGCUAGUCCAGAGAGGAAGCAAAACCCCAGAAAUGAGUAAGCAACCCACCGAAAUGCCCGGAAGCACUAAAUGAAAUUCCAGAGAGUGAUUGAAAGUGUUGAUCCAGAAGGCGGUCAGACAGUGUUGGGGAACUCUGCUGUCGGUUUAAUUGAAAAUGAAUCCAAAACCAAGCCGUCCACUUCAACCUGGGCUCUUUACACUACCACCGUGCCCACGAUGCUAUGAGCCAGAAAACCUGGGAACAGUGAUGUGAUAAAGUAAGUCUAAAGCAUCAAGAUGUUGGUCUUGAGCCAACAGAAAAAUCAUUCCUGGAUGCUGCAAGCUUGCUGAGCUCUGAUGAAGGCAUGGAGCGCUGCUUGGAAUUUUCAGGUUGUUUCUACACCAAGGGCUCCUGCAGUGACUCUCAAGUCCUGCAAAGAAGCUUCCUCAGAAGGACAGCAGAUGUGACAGUCAUAUGUUGCCCUGAUGUUCAUGUUCUUGAACUUGAUUUCAUUUACGUUUUAAGUCUUUUUUUAAAAAAGAGAGAAAAGUGUCCUUGGCGCAAAAGGUUUUUAUUUUGUAUACAUUUGCAUAAUGAGGAAUUAAUUCAAAGUAUGGGUAACAAACCCAAGUGAAUUCAUUCAUCAGCCUACAGUCAUUAUAUUCAAGUUCAACAUGGGUGGUAUUACAC